rnacentral:misc_RNA from 1 species
AAGUCGUAACAAGGUUUCCGUAGGUGAACCUGCGGAAGGAUCAUUAAAGAAUACCUGGACUCCGGUCCUCGUCGAGAAAGGUCGUCCCGGGUGGCCUCCAGGUCCCCGGGGCUUCCCCCUCCUUACCCUCUCGUUCACUCUACCUCUGCUUCGCUUUGGCAUGCACGCUCCUCGCCCCGGGGUCGGGUUCCGGGCUUUGGGCCGUCUUGGCCGGAUGGGCCCCGAACGCUACGUGGGAUAGUCUAUGUUUGUCUGAGUACGAUAUAAUCGUUUACAA